AGAGCGAACGCUGGCGGCAUGCUUAACACAUGCAAGUCUCACGGGCAGCAAUGUCAGUGGCGGACGGGUGAGUAACGCGUAGGUAUCUACCCAUGGGUGGGGGAUAACGUCGGGAAACUGACGCUAAUACCGCAUGACAUCUGAGGAUCAAAGGCGCGAGUCGCCUGUGGAGGAGCCUGCGUACGAUUAGCUAGUUGGUGGGGUAAAGGCCUACCAAGGCUACGAUCGUUAGCUGGUCUGAGAGGAUGAUCAGCCACACUGGGACUGAGACACGGCCCAGACUCCUACGGGAGGCAGCAGUGGGGAAUAUUGGACAAUGGGCGAAAGCCUGAUCCAGCAAUGCCGCGUGUGUGAAGAAGGUCUUCGGAUUGUAAAGCACUUUCGGCGGGGACGAUGAUGACGGUACCCGCAGAAGAAGCCCGGCUAACUUCGUGCUAGCAGCCGCGGUAA
rnacentral:rRNA from 1 species